GAACGCUGGCGGCAGGCCUAACACAUGCAAGUCGAGCGGUAACAGGAAUUAGCUUGCUAAUUUGCUGACGAGCGGCGGACGGGUGAGUAAUGCCUGGGAAUAUGCCUUAGUGUGGGGGAUAACUAUUGGAAACGAUAGCUAAUACCGCAUAACGUCUUCGGACCAAAGGGGGGGACCUUCGGGCCUCUCGCGCUAAGAUUAGCCCAGGUGGGAUUAGCUAGUUGGUGAGGUAAAGGCUCACCAAGGCAACGAUCCCUAGCUGGUCUGAGAGGAUGAUCAGCCACACUGGAACUGAGACACGGUCCAGACUCCUACGGGAGGCAGCAGUGGGGAAUAUUGCACAAUGGGGGAAACCCUGAUGCAGCCAUGCCGCGUGUAUGAAGAAGGCCUUCGGGUUGUAAAGUACUUUCAGUCGUGAGGAAGGCAUUGUAGUUAAUAGCUGCAGUGCUUGACGUUAGCGACAGAAGAAGCACCGGCUAACUCCGUG
rnacentral:rRNA from 1 species